rnacentral:rRNA from 1 species
UACGAGGGGAGCAAGCGUUGUUCGGAAUUACUGGGCGUAAAGGGCGCGUAGGCGGCACGGCAAGUCAGGAGUGAAAGGCCUGGGCUCAACCGAGGAACUGCUUUUGAGACUGCCGAGCUAGAGUGCAGAAGGGGCAACUGGAAUUCCCAGUGUAGCGGUGAAAUGCGUAGAUAUUGGGAAGAACACCUGAGGCGAAGGCGGGUUGCUGGGCUGACACUGACGCUGAGGCGCGAAAGCCAGGGGAGCAAACGGG